rnacentral:rRNA from 1 species
UACAGAGGGUGCAAGCGUUGUUCGGAAUUAUUGGGCGUAAAGCGCGUGUAGGCGGCUUUGCAAGUCGGGUGUGAAAGCCCUCAGCUCAACUGAGGAAGUGCGCCCGAAACUGCAGAGCUUGAGUGCCGGAGAGGGUGGCGGAAUUCCCCAAGUAGAGGUGAAAUUCGUAGAUAUGGGGAGGAACACCGGUGGCGAAAGGCGGCGACCUGGGUAGAUACUGACGCUGAGGCGCGAAAGCGUGGGGAGCAAACAGG